CAAAGAAACCCUAGUCUUGACAAAGCAAGAAUCAAAAAUUCGAUACAGAGAGAAAUGUCAUCGUUGAUCAUCAAUAGAUCACGAAGCAGAGCUGUCCUACUCUGGAAAACCCAUGGAAUCGAAAUCGCAAGUAUUUUCUCCCACGCGUUUGCAGAUUCAGUUUCGGCUUCUGGGUUCUCCUCGGAUGCAACAAGAAGCUUCAAAACUACAUCUUCUGGAUUCGAAUCUAGAAAAAUUAGCAACUUGACUUUUUCCAGAAGCAAUUUCGUCUCCACGACUCGACCAUUGAGCUCAGAAGCUGUACCUGUUGCUUCGACUUGUGACGGACUUACGGUGGAACGAAUCAUAGCUAACCAAUGGCCGAUUUUAGACGAAAACGAGAGUGAUUGGAAGAGCCACGCUGCAGCAAUUGCACAGUCCAUUCAAGUCAUCAAGAGACGCUUGCAGUGGAAAAAACUGUUGGUGAGGCUUAGAAUGUUAUCUGUAGAGUUGAAUAAGCCUCAUCUCUGGGAUGAUCCAACUCAUGCUGGUAAGAUAAGCCGAGAGCACGGUUCGCUCACAGGGAAAAUGAAAGGCGUUAUGACGUUUGAGAGAGAGUUGCUUGAACACAUUGACAUGUUAAAACUCGCUAAAGAGGAGAAUGACUCAGAGUUAGAAUCGGAAACUAUGAGUGCAUUGACCGAAAUGAGAAGGGUUUCGAAAGAGAAAGAACUGGAGGCUUUAUUAUCUGCUGAGAAUGAUCAUUGUUCCUGCUACAUAGAGGUUCAAGCUGGAGCUGGAGGAACCGAGAGCAACGAUUGGGCAUCAAUGGUAAUGGACAUGUACAAAACAUGGGCUCAACGACGCAAAUUCUCUGUCACUGUCGUCGAUGAAAUGCCUGGGGAGAUGGCAGGAAUCAAGCGUGCGACAAUCAAACUGAAUGGUGAAUACGCCUAUGGAUAUGCAAAAGCAGAAGUUGGAGUUCAUAGGCUGGUGCGUAUAUCACCGUUUGAUAGUGGAAAACGGAGGCACACAUCAUUUGCUGCGGUUGCGGUGAUUCCGAUUUUAGGUGACGGGUCGACCCGAGUGCAGAUCAAUGACUCGGAUAUCCGGAUAGAGCGGUUCCGUUCUGGAGGAGCUGGUGGACAGCAUGCUAACACGACGGACAGUGCUGUAAGAAUCAUUCACAUACCAACUGGCAUAACAGCAACUUGUCAGAAUGAAAGGUCGCAGCAUAUGAAUAAGGCUUCAGCAAUGGCAGUGCUACAGUCACGACUAGACCAACUAGAAAUGGCUCGUCAGACAGCAAUGAAUGCGCAACAUACACAAUCACUAACCGAGAUCAGUUGGGGAAAUCAGAUUAGAACUUAUGUUCUCCAUCCAUACAGAAUGGUGAAGGAUCUGAGAACAAACUACGAAGUCUCUGAUCCUGACUCAGUUCUUGAAGGAGAUUUGGAUGGUUUCAUAUUGAGCUUCUUAUCUUCUUCUUUGGACAAAAGUGAUGAUGAACAUUAAGAUUUCUAGGGUUUGUCGUCUUCACGAGCUCUGAUUAUGUCAAACAACCAUGAUGUUCUUGAAGGAUCUCCGAGUCAGCUCUUCAUGUUGGUUCUCUGUGCCGUUCAACAUUCCCGCCGUUAUGCUUGCGCUUAAUCUCCUCAAAUCCGUUAUGCAAUGAAGUGCUUCAUCACCAUUAACGGCGUUCUUUAAUCCUUGGAUCCACGCCCACCACGAUCAAUCAUUCAUUGCUUCUUAUCUCCCUUGCAGGCUGUGGAUUUCACCUAUAAAAAGGGCAGACUUCACCUUUCGAAAAACAUCCUCCCGAUUACUAAUAUCAUAAAGAUACUCUUCUUCUUCGAUUUAAUAUCUCGGUCAUCUAUCAUGCUCGCUGAUUUGAAGGCCAGGCGUGUUGUUCUACUGUGGAGGUGCGAUUGUUGAGUUUCUGGGAAGCUAGAAACAUGAAAAGAGGUGGUGAGCUGAUAGGCCUAGACACGCUCCUCCUUGAAGCUAAGCCACCCUUAACGUCCACCGUCUUACCACUUACCGGAAUAUGUACUCCUUAGGCGGAUUUGAUGUGCCUCGCUGCAAUCAGAAUUACAGGCUCUACGACUCACCUUUUCUGAUUCAGUUUAGUGAUUCACCAACCGAGCUGGUUCUACCAAUUCUUCAGGUUCUGUAAUCACAGUGAACUACUUGGACUGGCUACUAUUUGGUUUAAAAGCUGAUGUAGAAUAAAAUUUAGGAUAAGCAGUUAACUCAUGUGUUACAGCCUUCUGUUUUUCUUUUUUUCAAUUGCAACCAAAGGUAUGGAAUUUAGAAUCUAUCGUUGUUUCAUUUGAGAUUUGAUUUAUUAUUUGCAAUUAAUUACUGUUUCAUUAGCAGGGCUACCAAAGCUAUGGAUAUCUGCAAAACUGCCAAAACCAGAAAUAUUUGUCGUCUUCCAAUAGCUCAAAGUGUGAAUCUUUACAUUGUGAAUAUAUCAAGUUCCUUGAGUUUAAACCAUCUGUGAAGUUCAGGGGCUGCAUUUCUCUUUGCAAUUUGAUCAUUGCUCCCUCGACAUCCUUGAAGAGCGAGUAAACAUUCCAAAAAUGGCUGAUACAAAAUUGAAGAGGCAUUUCUUGGACUACUAAACUACAAAGUGUACAGUUACUUGACUACUAUGUAAAUGAACUUUAUAUUGGUCACAACUGAUUUAUAUGCCAGAGACACCAAAGUGAGAAAUUGCGCUAAGGUUCUUAAGACUCGAUCUAAGAACUUCUACAUGUUCACAAGCAUAGGGUCUGGUUGCUGAGAUUUACUAUAAGCCAAUCUCGGAUGCAACAUAAAUUCGAUUAAGCAACUGAGUUUAUUGAAAGCUAAGGAGAUAUUAUUGAAGAAACAAAGGAAAGAUGAAAAGCCAAAAGUGAAACCUCUGAAUAUGAUCACUGAAAUGGAAUGUAAAUCAAGUGACAGUGAUUGUGACAUAAAUAAGUUGCUGGCAUGAGCUCUUUUGGAAAUGAGGCUAAACUGAUUCUUGAGCCGCAACAGCCAGAAUCUGGAGAAGCAACCAUUCCUACAAUCCAAGCGACUGAUUCCUAUAAAAGCUCGAAGAUGAAAAUUCUCCCAACAACACCGGUGAAAACAUAGAAGCUAGCUGUGCCGCAAUCAGCUGCGACAUUGACAUCUUUUCUCUCAGUUGUUAAUUAUAGACGUCUUAAAGUAAACCAUGUUUUAAAAGGUCCUAAUUAUUUUUGAUGAUAUGGUUUAUUUGAUAAUUUAAAAAAUAUGUAAAUCUUUAAACAGUAAUGUGUUAUGUUUCAAGUUGAUUAAGAGUGAUAGGUACA